AUGGAUGAAAGACUGUUAGGACAGGAAAUGAGUAUGAAGAGUAUAGUUUGGGGGGACAGUGAGUCAGUGAAUGACUGGAGCCCCCACAGCAGACAUAAAUUGAAACUGGAAGGAAACAUAAGAGUUAACGGGCAUAAGUCUGUAGGAUGCUGGCAUUUUAUAGGAAGUAAGGAGGCAAUGGUCAAUCUUAAAAGUGAAGGUAGAAAAAAAAAGCCAGACACCUCCAAAAGAUCAGGAAGUGAGGAAGAUUGCUUUUCCUGCUCUCUACUCAAGUGGGAGGGUGGAGUACUGGCAAAAAAAUGAGAGAUGAUAAAAGGAUUGCAUUUGACAUGAGAUGAUACGGAAAUUGGAAUCAAAGUGAGGUAAGUGUCGGUGACAAAAGAUUGUGAACAUUAUUUGGGUAGUGAAAUCUCUAUUAUACAAGGCAAGAAGCUGCUGGGAGAAUUCAUAAGGACUGGACGACAUCAGGAGGUAACAAGGGGGGAAUCCUGUGUUGUGGAGCUGGAAGGUUUUCUGAAGCAGUUGUUGCUUUUGAGACUGGCCAUGCUGACUAUUCCAACCUGGCCUGGCAUUUAUUAAAUGCCAAAGGAGCUACUGCUCACCACUGACAGGAGGGGGCAUACCGCAAAUCUGGUUUUGGUGGUCUGCCAGCAUAUAUAGGAGAGGCUGCUUCUCCUGCAGAACCCGAGCACUACACAGCUUUUAGUUUCUACCCAUCUCAGCAUCAAAAACUGGGAUAGCCAUAAGAUGGUGACCACUUAAAAGAGAAUUAGAUGGUCGUGAAAAAGGUUGUGUCAGUCCUUUGCAAAGACAACAGCAUGAUAGACAGCUAAUAAGCUUUCAUGUCCAAAGAUGACAUAGUUUAUAGUUUCCGUUCUAAAUUAAAAGUUUGUGCUAUGUGCAGACUCUCAUCUAAUUUUGCCCUAGAUUUCUUUCAAUGUAUUCUGUUCAUCUAUCCUGUUUCACACUUCACUGGAGGAUGAUGUCUAAGAUGUCAACAAGACAACAGUCUAGAAAUAGUAACCUUAACUGUCUCCAAACUAUAAGCCCAAACAAUUGACUCCACACUGUGUGGCAGUGACAAACGUAAGUGAAAGACAAGGCAUAAGGAUCAGAGACAAUAUUUAAAUGAAGGCAUGUACCUAAGAAAACAUAUAUCCAUUUUCUCAUGUAAAAAGACCACAUGAAGAAAGUGAAAGAAUAUAUAAGAGGAAUGGGAAAAUUCUAGAAGAAUGGAAGAAGAAAGGAUUCGAAACCAGGGGAGCAUAGGGGAAUAUUGUUCAGGCUGAACUGUUUCUCUGAAAUGGUUUAGAGCUCUGUAACUUCUUUACUAAAGUAUCAUAGUUAAUGUUCCUGGCCGUACCUCUAUCCAGUCCACCCUGAUUCUAGUUAGCUUUCAUACCUGUGAGCUCAUAACCCAGCUAGAUGGAGGCUAUGGUCUAUGGUUCUUGCCGUGCAGGAAGGAUGCGUCCCAAAUGCUGGAAAGGGAAGCUGCACCUCCAUGAUUGACUCCCUCUCCUGUGCAAUACCACAAGCAAAUUUGUCAUCAGUCCUAUUUACCAUGCAUAUGUAUUCACUACUGCCACUCUUCUGCUGUGGAAGUCAGUUACGCAGCUAUCUUUGAGAAUGUGGGUACGGGUUAUGUUGCAACAAAUGGACAGAAAAAGAUGUGAUCAAUAUGUAAACCGAACAAAGUUCUCGCUCUCUCCUGUCCUUGUUCUUGCCACCAAGUGUAUGGAAAACUGUUCUUUCUAUCAAUCAAAAAAAAAAAAAUCUGAAUUCAAAACACUUUCUGUUUAAGGAGUAAUUGAGGGCCUUAGACUACUUUCUCACAUACAGUUAGAGAUUAUAGAAUAACAAAAUGGUUGCCCCAUCCAGCCUGGUCUUGAACACUUCCAGAGAUGGGGCAUCCACAGCUUCUCUGAGCAGCCUGUGCCAGUGCCUCUCCACCCUUGUAGUAAAUAAUUUUUUCCUGAUACCUAAAAUAAUCCAGCCUCUUUUAGAUUAAAGCCAUUACUCCCUGUCCUAUCAUUAUACUCCCUGAUAAAAAGUCCAUCCACAGAUUUCUUGUAGCAAAGACCACUAUAAGUUAUCCCCAGAUCCCUCUCUUCUUCAGGCUGAGCAACCUUAACACCCUCGGCCUGGAUAUUUGACAUAAUAAGCCAUUUAAUUAGAAGCUACAUGACUUUUUGUCAUUUUUUAUAUAUAACUACCUUCAAAUCAUUAGAACUGCUUAGAUUCUCCAGAUCCUUUUCCAAAGCUAAAUUUAUUCCAAUAAUAAAUCAAUUAAAAAAAAAAAGAAGAAGAAGAAAAAGAAAAAAAGAAAAAAUAUAUAUUUAUGCACAAUGUUAAUGGUGGUCAAUGACAGAGAGAACAUGUCCACAUUUCAAGGCAAUAUAUUUGUUAUCAUCUCCUCUAAAAAAGUAUUAGAAAGACCAGAAAUCCAGUGAGACAAGGGAAAUCAAAUCAUUUUCCAAUAUGGGGGAUAUCCAAGGAACAUUAAGUUUAUCCUAUAGUGACACCAUGAGGAAAAAAGAAGUAGACUACACUGAUUUUAAAGAUAUAGUAGAUGCAAUGCAAUCUUCACUCUUUUGCCUGUGGUUAUUAGAUAAUGAUAAUUGCUAUCCUGCAGAAUUAAGGGCUUGGGCAUGUCCUAAGCAAAAAUAUCCUAAUGUAUGCAAAUGAGGCUAGCACUACUUAUUCCUUGAGUUUAUGUUGAAAAAAAAAAAAAAAAAAAGAUUAAUAUACUGUUACUUGCUGUCUUGAAGAUGAAGUUACAGACUAUCUGAACAAUUUUGCAUUAGAAUUGAAUUAAAUCUACCGAUGCAUCCAGGUGAUGAUGUAUAUGAUUAGAAGUUAAUUCUAAAAGAUGCUAUAUAAGUCACUAUGACCAUCCCUGUAUCACAAACAUUAUGUUUCACGCAGCUAUACUUAAACAAAACUUCAAAAAUGACCUAGGCCAAAAGCCUCAAUCAUAGAAAAUUAAACUGAUUGCUACAAAAAGUAAAGACAGGAGACUACUAACAUGCCACCCUUAUCCCCAGCUUUUGAUAUGGCAGUAAAGCACUUCAGUGAGAAGUUCCUAAGUAAUUCCAGCUGCUAGUGCACAUCUUCUGUUCCCUGUGCUACAGAAAAAGAUGGGAAAAAAUAUCCCUGCCAAUCUGUUUUUGUAGAAGACUGCUACCCAGCCAGAAGUCUUGGAUGGUGGUCUGCAAAGAGACUACACCAGCAGGAAAAAAAAAGGAAAAGAAAAAAAAAAAAAGAAAAAAAAAGAACAGCUGUUGCACCUGAAGGCAUGGCUCUACUGUGUUAAAUACUGCACUUCCUAAAGCAGCCAAUAUCAAAGGAAGGUGAGAGGUUAAGAAGCAAAAUUAUACAUUGCAAGAAAUAAUUUUUUCCUGACCCACAGACUAACAACAGAAGCUCUAAGUCUCGGUACUUCAUUACAAUCACUGUUCUAGCACAGACUACACAGAACUCAGGCAAGGAACAUGAUCAGAUGGUCUCAGGUUCAUCUGUGCACCUAUUUUUGGGUGAGACAUGCAAAGCAAGGCAAUAAAGAUCUUAGCUGUAUAAUAAUCCAUAACUUUAGAAGCAGAAUCCAUAACUACAGAACAGAUGGGAGCAUAUAAGUAGAAACUGAAUGUUUUACUGAGACUUUUGUUUAGAUUCAGUUUUGUGUAGAGAAGUAGAGAGAAGUAGAAACUAAGAUCUUAAUUCCCUUGCUUUACAUGACUUUACAAGUGGUUUUUUGUUGUUGUUGUUGUUGUUUGUUUGUUUGCUUUGUUUUGUUUUUCCUUCCAUCCUUUUGUCUGCAAGCCUGAAAUGUCCUUCCUCUCUCACAUGCCUCACUAACGGGUCAUUUCUCAGCCUUUUCUCCAAUUCAACAAAAUAGAUCCAGCUCUUAAAGUUUGCAUUGCAAGACUUUUCCCCAACCCAUGAAUUACUUUUUGCAGUCCUCUUCCAGAUUUUGGUUGAAGCCAGUUCAUCUCUGAAACAUAAAUAUCAGAGUUUCAUACACUCUUCCAGCUGGUGAAUUAUUAAUGAAGCACAUAGAUCACUUCCUUACUCCAUCAAGAUAGAUCUUUUUUAUAUACUUGCUUAUAUAAAAUGUAAACCAAUGCAAACACCUUGGAAAUUAUAUGGAUGACCUCAUCAAGUUUCAUUUCCACACCACCAUUUUCAGGAUGAUCUCACUGGCGUUCUUGACUCCGUUAUGUAUGACAUAACUAUACCUUAUUCAUACCAUAACAAAAAAAACACUUUGUUGAAUGUGUUCACAUUAUUUAGUGAUAAUUACUUAUUUUUGCUGCUUACUUUUAACCAAUUUAUAUCAUCUGAAGUUUUAUCAUAAAAGGCUUUCUAGAUCAUGGACAAAAGCACUAAAUAACAUUGUAACAAUAAGGUGGCCCAUGUUCUAAUCCAUCUGUUUUCUACCAAUGCUAUAAAAUAGAAGCACUUCAAAACGCUGUGUAAGAAUGAAUCAAAUUUCCUAAAGAAAUCUAAAGUUCAUGUAUUGAUGCUGAUGGGGUUAAAAAGAAAAAAAAAAAAAAAAAAAGAUAAACAACUUGAUAUCUGCCAAUAAUGUCUGACAAAACCAAUCUCUCAUAAAACCAUAUCAGCAAUACAUAGAAAAUUUCUGCAAUGUUCAGGCUAAAUUCCAAUUUUUCAUAUAGCCCUAAAUCUGCCAUUCCACUAUUUUACUCAGGACUGAAUUCAAAUCAAUAGUUCCCUUGGUCUCUUUAUUUCAAACACUAGAAUUGUCAUGAUUCAUGAUCCUUUAGUAAUUUGUCACUUUUUCAAGACAGGAUGAUUCUUACGAGGAGUGGUUCAAAGGACUCUUCAUCUUACAUAUCUCAGACAUUUGGCUAUUUAGCAUUUGGAUUUGCUGAUUGGAUAUUCUUUAAUUUGAACAAAUCAUCCUUGCCACCUGUUAAGAUUAUAAACUUCCUGUUCCUGUGAUUAAAAUUACAUGGAAUAGAUACAUCUUGCCAUCUAUUUCCAAAUAUUCUCUCUCCAACAUCGUAUUUCACAACUGUAUCACUGUGAUCAAUGGACUAGGCUGCAUUUUGCUAACUGCUUCGUUUUAAUACUAAAUGACCUCUCAUUUACUUUGCUUAUUGAUAUUUCACUGACUGGUAUAUAAACCCUAAUCAUUUGUUCCUAUACUCUAC
rnacentral:lncRNA from 1 species